CAUGCAGUCGACGAAGAGCGAUGGAAGCUUGCUUCUAUCAAUCUUAGUGGCGAACGGGUGAGUAACGCGUAAUCAACCUGCCCUUCAGAGGGGGACAACAGUUGGAAACGACUGCUAAUACCGCAUACGAUCUAAUCUCGGCAUCGAGGAUAGAUGAAAGGUGGCCUCUACAUGUAAGCUAUCACUGAAGGAGGGGAUUGCGUCUGAUUAGCUAGUUGGAGGGGUAACGGCCCACCAAGGCGAUGAUCAGUAGCCGGUCUGAGAGGAUGAACGGCCACAUUGGGACUGAGACACGGCCCAGACUCCUACGGGAGGCAGCAGUGGGGAAUCUUCCGCAAUGGACGAAAGUCUGACGGAGCAACGCCGCGUGAGUGAUGACGGCCUUCGGGUUGUAAAGCUCUGUUAAUCGGGACGAAAGGCCUUCUUGCGAAUAGUGAGAAGGAUUGACGGUACCGGAAUAGAAAGCCACGGCUAACUACGUGCCAGCAGCCGCGGUAAUACGUAGGUGGCAAGCGUUGUCCGGAAUUAUUGGGCGUAAAGCGCGCGCAGGCGGAUCGGUCAGUCUGUCUUAAAAGUUCGGGGCUUAACCCCGUGAUGGGAUGGAAACUGCCAAUCUAGAGUAUCGGAGAGGAAAGUGGAAUUCCUAGUGUAGCGGUGAAAUGCGUAGAUAUUAGGAAGAACACCAGUGGCGAAGGCGACUUUCUGGACGAAAACUGACGCUGAGGCGCGAAAGCCAGGGGAGCGAACGGGAUUAGAUACCCCGGGUAGUCCUGGCCGUAAACGAUGGGUACUAGGUGUAGGAGGUAUCGACCCCUUCUGUGCCGGAGUUAACGCAAUAAGUACCCCGCCUGGGGAGUACGACCGCAAGGUUGAACUCAAGGAAUUGACGGGGCCCGCACAGCGGUGGAGUAUGUGGUUUAAUUCGACG
rnacentral:rRNA from 1 species